rnacentral:tRNA from 9 species
ACUAAAAUCCGUCGACUUUAAAAAUCGUGAGGGUUCAAGUC